rnacentral:rRNA from 1 species
UGAUUUGNGUUCNGNCCGGUACCAAGCCAGGUCGGUUUCUAUCUUUUAUAUAAUAUUAUACAGUACGAANGGACCUAUAAUUAUAAUUAUAUUAUUAAAAUGGCAGAUAAUGCAUUAGAAUUAGAAUCUAAUUAAUCUUAUAUAUUANGAUUAUUUUCACUUAAUUUUAUAAUU